UACAGAGGUCUCAAGCGUUGUUCGGAUUUACUGGGCGUAAAGGGCGCGUAGGCGGUCGUGACAAGUCACUUGUGAAAUCUCCGGGCUUAACUCGGAACGGUCAAGUGAUACUGUCGGACUAGAGUACAGAAGGGGCAACUGGAAUUCCUGGCGUAGCGGUGAAAUGCGCAGAUAUCAGGAGGAACACCGGUGGCGAAGGCGGGUCUCUGGGCAACAACUGACGCUGAGGAGCGAAAGCGUGGGGAGCGAACAGG
rnacentral:rRNA from 1 species